GUAUGUCAGUGUGUCUGUGUGUGUAUGUCAGUAUGUCUGUCAUAGACACACAUAGACAUACUGACAUACAUACACAAACAGACAU